rnacentral:rRNA from 1 species
ACGGGUGAGUAACGCGUGGGAAUCUACCUAGCUCUACGGAAUAACCCAGGGAAACUUGGACUAAUACCGUAUACGUCCGAGAGGAGAAAGAUUUAUCGGAGUUAGAUGAGCCCGCGUUGGAUUAGCUAGUUGGUGGGGUAAAGGCCUACCAAGGCGACGAUCCAUAGCUGGUCUGAGAGGAUGAUCAGCCACACUGGGACUGAGACACGGCCCAGACUCCUACGGGAGGCAGCAGUGGGGAAUAUUGGACAAUGGGCGAAAGCCUGAUCCAGCCAUGCCGCGUGAGUGAUGAAGGCCCUAGGGUUGUAAAGCUCUUUCAACGGUGAAGAUAAUGACGGUAACCGUAGAAGAAGCCCCGGCUAACUUCGUGCCAGCAGCCGCGGUAAUACGAAGGGGGCUAGCGUUGUUCGGAAUUACUGGGCGUAAAGCGCACGUAGGCGGAUCGGUCAGUUAGGGGUGAAAUCCCGGGGCUCAACCCCGGAACUGCCUCUAAUACUGCCGAUCUCGAGUUCGAGAGAGGUGAGUGGAAUUCCGAGUGUAGAGGUGAAAUUCGUAGA